UAGGGAAUCUUCCGCANCCGUGGCGAAAGCCUGACGGAGCAACGCCGCGUGAGUGAUGAAGGUCUUCGGAUCGUAAAACUCUGUUAUUAGGGAAGAACAUAUGUGUAAGUAACUGUGCACAUCUUGACGGUACCUAAUCAGAAAGCCACGGCUAACUACGUGCCAGCAGCCGCGGUAAUACGUAGGUGGCAAGCGUUAUCCGGAAUUAUUGGGCGUAAAGCGCGCGUAGGCGGUUUUUUAAGUCUGAUGUGAAAGCCCACGGCUCAACCGUGGAGGGUCAUUGGAAACUGGAAAACUUGAGUGCAGAAGAGGAAAGUGGAAUUCCAUGUGUAGCGGUGAAAUGCGCAGAGAUAUGGAGGAACACCAGUGGCGAAGGCGACUUUCUGGUCUGUAACUGACGCUGAUGUGCGAAAGCGUGGGGAUCAAACAGGAUUAGAUACCCUGGUAGUCCACGCCGUAAACGAUGAGUGCUAAGUGUUAGGGGGUUUCCGCCCCUUAGUGCUGCAGCUAACGCAUUAAGCACUCCGCCUGGGGAGUACGACCGCAAGGUUG
rnacentral:rRNA from 1 species